GAUGAACGCUGGCGGCGUGCCUAAUACAUGCAAGUCGAGCGAACGGACGAGACGCUUGCUUCUCUGCUGUUAGCGGCGGACGGGUGAGUCACACGUGGAUAACCUACCUAUAAGACUGGGAUAACUUCGGGAAACCGGAUCUAAUACCGGAUGAUAUUUUGAACCGCAUGGUUCAAAAGUGAAAGACGUUCUUGCUGUCACUUAUAGAUGGAUCCGCGCUGCAUUAGCUAGUUGGUAAGGUAACGGCUUACCAAGGCAACGAUGCAUAGCCGACCUGAGAGGGUGAUCAGCCACACUGGAACUGAGACACGGUCCAGACUCCUACGGGAGGCAGCAGUAGGGAAUCUUCGGCAAUGGGCGAAAGCCUGAUGGAGCAACGCCGCGUGAGUGAUGAAGGUCUUCGGAUCGUAAAACUCUGUUAUUAGGGAAGAACAUAUGUGUAAGUAACUGUGCACAUCUUGACGGUACCUAAUCAGAAAGCCACGGCUAACUACGUG
rnacentral:rRNA from 1 species